UGUCAGCAGUGCAGAAGUGAGUCCUACUUUUGACCAGGGAAGAGGAACAGAAAUUGGGGGAAGGGCUCUGGCUGGCAAAGUUGUCUUUUCAUGGUUGAGUUGUUAUAUAAUAGCUGUUACUAUAUAAUGAGAGAUCAGAACAGAACUCACACACAGAACCAGACCACAUCCUCAGAGACCAGAACAUCAGAGACCAUCUAGACAAUACAAUCUUCAACAUCUCAACCAUCUCUGUACCAUGAAGACCCUGACUGCUCUACUCCUCCUGGGACUGCUCUGCUCCCUCCAUAAGACGUCUGCAGGGGUCAAGUGGCAGAUUCAUGAUCUACCGUCUGGGACUGGCAGAGACUGCUGUUUAAAGUCCUACACCACCAGGAUGCCUGUCUCUCUCUGGUGGUUUCUGCUGUUUAAAGUCCUACACCACCAGGAUGCCUGUCUCUCUCUGGUGGUUUCUGCUGUUUAAAGUCCUACACCACCAGGAUGCCUGUCUCUCUCUGGUGGUUUCUGCUGUUUAAAGUCCUACACCACCAGGAUGCCUGUCUCUCUCUGGUGGUUUCUGCUGUUUAAAGUCCUACACCACCAGGAUGCCUGUCUCUCUGGUGGUGUCUGCUGUUUAAAGUCCUACACCACCAGGAUGCCUGUCUCUCUGGUGGUGUCUGCUGUUUAAAGUCCUACACCACCAGGAUGCCUGUCUCUCUCUGGUGGUUUCUGCUGUUUAAAGUCCUACACCACCAGGAAGCCUGUCUCUCUCUGGUGGUUUCUGCUGUUUAAAGUCCCCUGUGGCUCAGUUGGUAGAGCAUGGUGUUUGCAACACCAGGGUUGUGGGUUCGAUUCCCACGGGGGACCAUUACGGGGGAAAAAGAUGUAUGAAAUUGUGGUGUGGUUGGACCAGCAGCAGCGGAGCUGGUGCAGCGGAGAUGGUUUUGGACCCGGGUGAGGACUGUAUGGAUCGGACAGACGUCGACGAGGUCGGAGGGGGCAGCAGCACCACAGACCUGACGGGUCCAGAACCAAGACCGGAACCUCGCAAAACCACCACCAACACCAGACUAGAAAACACCAGCCCAGAGCCUCCCAAAACCACCACCAACACCAGACUAGAAAACACCAGCCCAGAG
rnacentral:tRNA from 1 species